rnacentral:rRNA from 1 species
GACGAACGCUGGCGGCGUGCUUAACACAUGCAAGUCGAGCGGUAAGGCCUCUUCGGGGGUACACGCGCGGCGAACGGGUGAGUAACACGAGGGUGACCUGCCCUCAGCUCUGGGAUAAGCCUGGGAAACUGGGUCUAAUACCGGAUAUGACCUUUCCUCGCAUGGGGUUUGGUGGAAAGUUUUUUCGGCUGGGGAUGGGCCCGCGGCCUAUCAGCUUGUUGGUGGGGUGAUGGCCUACCAAGGCGACGACGGGUAGCCGGCCUGAGAGGGCGACCGGCCACACUGGGACUGAGACACGGCCCAGACUCCUACGGGAGGCAGCAGUAGGGAAGAUUGCGCAAUGGGCGGAAGCCUGACGCAGCGACGCCGCGUGGGGGAGGACGGCCUUCGGGUUGUAAACCUCUUUCGACCCCGACGAAUUUGGACGGUAGGGGUAGAAGAAGCACCGGCCAACUACGUG